CGCGUACAUUUUAUAAUAAUUUUCGGAAAAUAUUUGCAUGUGAAAAAAAAAAAGCAAAUGAAUUCCAAACGAUGUUCGUUGUAGCUGUUUGCUUCGGAAUUGAUCAACACGUUCGUAAUAUUAAUAUAAUUUUUGAUAAUGUGUGCAGCUGCUGCUGAGGACUGUUUACACUUUAGUGUUUACCCGAAACGGUAUCACAACAAACACACACCGUUGUACAGCAUUUUCAGUUAUCAAUAUUGUUAAUGUUGCAGUAUUUUUCCAUAGUUUGUGAUCAUUAUAAAUUAUAAUGUUUUCUUACUGCUAAGGAUUUUUUUUGCAAAAGUAAUUAUUGUUUUUUCAAUUUUUUCAAUUUCAAAUAAUUAUAUUACCGAUUAUACUGGAGUUGCCGUGCCGAUUCCCCGGAUCCAGCGCCAAGCAAACGAAAUGAAAAAUUGAAAACUGACAUCACACAGCAAGCAAAUGGUUGUGCAAAUAACCCAACUUCACAAUUAUUGUGUUUUACAAGUAUUAAAACAGUGCUUGAACGGUGCCGGAAAUCAUAAUUGAAAAAGAUAACGAAGAAAUGGGUCGUUCAACACACAAACAGUCAUUCGACAAGUCCAUGAUGAGCCUACAGAAUGAAUAGAUUUGUGAAAACCCUUAUCUACUACAAGGUCAUACCGGACAAAUUAGAUUUAUCUCUUAACACAGCUAAACGUAAAGCCACGACAUUGGUAAAAUAAUAUUUUCUCAUCAACAGAUGUUACCGACACCGAAUCAGUGGGCGCGCAGAGGCAAUGCGUCCGACUCUCAGAUGAGUGCGUCCGAAUCAGCCCCCAAUUGUAACCAUUUGGUUAAACUGAUACCGAUUCCGGUUAAAAUGGUCUACGGGAUGUUUGUUAUCGCUGUAAAACAUUAACGUCUGUUCCGUCGGAGAUGGCACUGUGAGCCAAUUUUUUUUUUCAAUUGGUCACAUUUCUUUAAUGGUUAACAGACAGCCAAGCUGUCGAAGAUUACCACCAUGUGUUUCACUACCUGUGAAUUGGCACAGUCGGCUUAACGUAUUCGCAAGGAGGAAACCACAUCAGGCACACGUCAAGGAAAGAAACUGCAGAUCCAACCUCGAGACUCCGAGCAAAGAACCAGCAUAACGUUCAACUUCACGACUGAAGUUGUGCGUUAUUAGUACGCCACUGUUGUUCAUCAAGAAUUCAUUGAUCUUGACUUGUAUGUUUUAUUUGGAAUUGUUGCGCUAUACUGUGGUUUUCUACGAAAGCUUUAACAAAACAAAAUGUUAGAUGGAUUUUGCGCAAAAUGGCCCAUUGGAUGUCGUACGUCCAAGCCGUAAUUUCAGAAAUUCCAAAACCAAAACCGUAUAAGAGGGACAGAGACCUAAGAGACCAGCCAAAACCCGUCGCCAAAAAACUGAUUCUCUUAAGGCAGGCACGCACUCCUCUAUUGAUUCCGCCGACGGAGAGUGCCAAAUCGUCGACAUCAAUCUGCCGACAACUUCUAAAGUUAAUCUAACUUGCCAUACCGAUCCCCUUUUUACGCCGACUCCAUCUCCUUCGUGUCCGACGAUUCGGAUUGUGUAAUCGUUUGCGAUGAAAGGGAAAACGAAGGAAACCUACAGUUUUAAAAAUCAAUGUAGACAAAAAUUGUGAUGAACCCUUCACUAAUCGAAUACAACCACAACCUGGAGACCACCGCGCAUGUUCGAUCCAAAGUUCUGUAAACUUUUAAUUAUAUUUUCAAAACAUUUGUCAUAAUUGUAAAAAUGUUUAUUUUUUUUUUUUUAUCACAAAUUACACUACAUGAGUAAAUCUAAUUUUCUCACUGGACUUCAUACAACAUCUAUAGUUAAAUUUAUAUAGAAUUUUAUUCAAACAAUUAUUUAUAACCCAACAUUUCAGACGCUACGGGGACAUGAUAGUCAUAGUCGCUAUCCGACAGCUUUCUUUUCGGUGAGCGCUCUUGUUCUUCGUCCUCCUCACUGUCAGUCGUGGUUAGAUUAGGAGGGGGUUAAUAAGAAAAACAACGCAUUUUUAAUCUGUCAAAUAGUAAAAGUUUAA